UAGGCUGCCCACUGAAUUAUUUGAAGGGCCGCGGUAAUUUGACCGUGCAAAGGUAGCAUAAUCACUAGUCUUUUAAUUGGAGGCUUGAAUGAAUGGUUUGACGAAGUAAAAUCUGUCUCAUUUUAAAUUAAUAUAAUUUAACUUUUGAGUUAAAAGGSUUAAAUUAAAGUAUAGGACGAGRAGACCCUAUAGAUCUUAUAUAUAUUUUAWGUAUUAUUUAAUUAGKAUAAGUGUUAAUAAUUAUAUAUAUAAUUUAUUUUGUUGGGGUGACAUUGAGAUAGGAGAAACUCUUUUUAAAUUAAACAUAAAUUUAUGAAUUUAUGAUCCAUUAUUAAUGAUAAUAAGAUUAAGUUACCUUAGGGAUAACAGCGUAAUUUUUUUUACGAGUCUUAUUUACAAGAAAGAUUGCGACUCGAUGUUGGAUUAAGGAAUAUUAUUGGGUGCAGAAGUUUA
rnacentral:rRNA from 1 species